GAGAUCCAUUGCACUGGAGUUACCUAUGCAAGCCCAGGACAGGUGUGAAUAUUGCCUCACGACUGGAAUGAAUAACAACUUCCUUAUUUAAUUAAGCCGUUUGAGAUUUGCAUUUGUGCUCACUGAAGCCAUCUCUCGUUUCCUGUGUUAUCAUGGCUGCACCUCAGCUCAGAGGAAGAGUCCUAACAAAAUCACACUGAAGUGGUGCAGCUCUGGGCAGUUUUCAGAUCUCAAGUGACUUAAUGGAAUUGGCAUCUGUUUGUAUGCUCCCACACCAGGCCACGGAAACUCUUCUGGAAACCCUGGAAAUGAAUGAUGAAAUGAAUUCAAUUUAAACAGCGUAUAUUAUAAAAGGUGUUAUUAUGUGUCACUGGAGACAUAAUAAUUUUGUCUCUCCAUUUUGUCCCCCGAAUUCUAGCCUUCCUAAAGUAUAUCCUGAAGCUUUGCAUUAAAUGGAAAUGAUUUGUUACUCUGUUGAAAGGGAAUGUUCUGAUGCAUGUCUGAUAAAGUCAUCAAGAACACCUGUUAUUGUGUGCCAUAAUGGUCCACCAGAGUGUUUGAUUAGAGCAUUAUCCUUGUCAUGUUGAUGAGCUAAGGUAUUAUCUACCUCAAGAGGCUAAAUGGAAGACUUGAAGGAUAAAAAGGUCUGUUGUGCACUACGUGCAUGAUCUUGUGACUGAAAACAUCGCGAGAGAUUAAGACAGCUCACUAGAUGUAUGGAAUGAGACAGUAUGUGUAAAUCAGCUUUGUUUACCAACAUUGAUAUGUUGUGAUUAUUCUAUCUAGCUUCACUUUAGCUUAAGAAUAAACUAGGGAAUACUCCA